AAAUUUUAUCUUGUAAAAUUUGAUGGUCGGGAUGUUAUUCGCUAGAAAGUAUUUUGGUCUCAGAUAGUGCAACUGGCGUUGUACGUCCUGCCUACCAAUGAUGGAUUUUCGCUAAGCUGGAUGGAGAUUUGUCAUUGCCCAAACCAAGCAGACAAAGCUAGGGAUUAUGGGUACGCUGUCAUGAAAUUUAUGAAGGACAUAAUCUAGCAUGCUCCGACUAGGACUCUUUCAAAUGAUGACCUGUGAAAGAAGAGGAUCUUGAUAGAAGGUGAAGAAAGAAUAUUUUGAGAAUUCAAAACUCCAGUAAGCCUUGUACUCGCGUUUGUUUCGUGGCUUCGAGCUGCAUUUGGUUAGCCUUACCCUCGUGGACUUUGUGUCCACAUUUGUUUCGUGGCUUCGGCUACAUUUGGUUACUUACCCUCGUGGACUGUGUGUCCACGUUUGUUUU